rnacentral:rRNA from 1 species
CCUACGGGAGACAGCAGUGAGGAAUAUUGGUCAAUGGACGCGAGUCUGAACCAGCCAAGUAGCGUGAAGGAUGACUGCCCUAUGGGUUGUAAACUUCUUUUAUAUGGGAAUAAAGUGUUCCACGUGUGGGAUUUUGUAUGUACCAUAUGAAUAAGGAUCGGCUAACUCCGUGCCAGCAGCCGCGGUAAUACGGAGGAUCCGAGCGUUAUCCGGAUUUAUUGGGUUUAAAGGGAGCGUAGGUGGGUUGUUAAGUCAGUUGUGAAAGUUUGCGGCUCAACCGUAAAAUUGCAGUUGAAACUGGCAGUCUUGAGUACAGUAGAGGUGGGCGGAAUUCGUGGUGUAGCGGUGAAAUGCUUAGAUAUCACGAAGAACUCCGAUUGCGAAGGCAGUUCACUGGACUGCAACUGACACUGAGGCUCGAAAGUGUGGGUAUCAAACAGGAUUAGAUACCCGAGUAGUC